ensembl:lncRNA
GUCCCUAUGGGUCCCAAUGCCUCUCUAUGUGUCCCUAUGUGUCCCUAUGUGUCCCUAUGGGUCGCUAUGGGUCGCUAGGGGUCCCGUCAGCGCUGUGUGCGCCCCAUAGGCGUCGCUAUGGGUCCCUAUGGGUCCCUAUGUGUCCCUAUGUGUCCCUAUGGGUCGCUAUGGGUCCCGUCAGCGCUGUGUGCGCCCCAUAGGCGUCGCUAUGUGUCCCUAUGUGUCCCUAUGGGUCCCAAUGCCUCUCUAUGUGUCCCUAUGGCUCUCUAUGUGUCCCUAUGGGUCCCUAUGUGUCCCUAUAGGUCCCUAUGUGUCGCUAUGGGUCACUAUGGGUCCCGUCAGCGCUGUGUGCGCCCCAUAGGCGUCGCUAUGUGUCCCUAUGGGUCCCUAUGUGUCCCUAUGUGUCCCUAUGGGUCCCUAUGUGUCCCUAUGGGUCCCAAUGCCUCUCUGUGGGUCCCUAUGGGUCGCUAUGGGUCCCGUCAGCGCUGUGUGCCCCAUAGGCGUCGCUAUGUGUCCCUAUGUGUCCCUAUGUGUCCCUAUGUGUCCCUAUGUGUCCCUAUGGGUCCCAAUGUGUCCCUAUGGGUCCCAAUGCCUCUCUGUGGGUCCCUAUGUGUCCCUAUGUGUCUGUAUGUGUCCCAAUGCCUCUCUAUGUGUCUCUAUGGCUCUCUAUGUGUCCCUAUGUGUCCCUAUGUGUCCCUAUGGCUCUCUAUGUGUCCCUAUGUGUCCCUAUGGGUCCCAAUGCCUCUC